UACGGGGGGGGCAAGCGUUGUUCGGAAUUACUGGGCGUAAAGGGCUCGUAGGUGGCCAACUAAGUCAGACGUGAAAUCCCUCGGCUUAACCGGGGAACUGCGUCUGAUACUGGAUGGCUUGAGUUUGGGAGAGGGAUGCGGAAUUCCAGGUGUAGCGGUGAAAUGCGUAGAUAUCUGGAGGAACACCGGUGGCGAAGGCGGCAUCCUGGACCAACACUGACACUGAGGAGCGAAAGUGUGGGGAGCGAACAGG
rnacentral:rRNA from 1 species